rnacentral:lncRNA from 1 species
AUCCUAGGGUGUGCCUGGAGGUGGCGGAGUGUACCGACGCGGGUGUGAGCGCGUGUGCCAGCGAGGGUGGGCACGGGGGUGAGCGUGGCAAGGGCAGCAGCACCUGCUUGAGACCAAGCCCGGCGACCUGGCAAGGUGGGGCCCCCUACCGCGCAAUCUUUGCGGCUGGCCCCCGGCUCUCAGCUCCGAGUGCAGAGGCUGAAGAGGUACCCGGGGGACACACUGCCUCUAACCCCACGUAUGAGCCGCUCUCCUCUCGGAGGGCGAAGGCACCAUCGGAAGGUCGAGAUUCGCCCUCCUCUCCCGCCACGUCUACCCACUACCCAGACCGGGAGUCUGGACUUGGGAGCGUGAACUCUCACCCGAGCCGGUCCCCUUACAACUGGAGCCCGCCCAGCCCCUCAGUCCCUCCCUGAAGCCCAUGGGUCCCCACUGCUCCGUGCCUCGUCUACCCAGGAUGGGGAGUGGGAAGGUCAGCAUGUGCCCACAGGGCCAGGUGUCCGGCCCAGAUUCCCACCCUCAGGGCGGCGGCGCGCAAAGGGCGCAGUCCCCGCCGCUGGGCGGACCCGCGGCUCCGGCUUUCCCGGUGUCUCCAGCCUCGGUGCCCGGAAUCCUGGAUCUCGGCCUGGCGCUCCGGAAGCGAGGCAGCUCCGUGCCCCAGCAGGGACGGGGAAUGCUUGGCUUGAGAGAUCACAUUUCUGGGUGUGGAGAGGUUUGAACUCCUGUACAUUCUCACUGUUGUUUAGCAUCUUGGGGGCAGCUCAGGGGUUGAGUGCCCCCCUCAGUGUUUGGAGGCUUCAGGAGACAGUUGGGCACAUCAUUUCUCCUCAGAAAGUCAACUAAUGGGACAGUUGUGGCCUCCUGAGACUCGUAAGCUCCGUUUGAAGACCAGACACUGGUCCAGACACCUGCCCCCUCAUUCCUCAUAAGCUCGUAACUCAUUGCUUAAGUGUGGUAGCUGUAGACUAUUCUCUCCUUUCUGUCUUAACCAUCUAGGGAAAAUAGGAAAGACUGGGAUUUCUAGUCUAGGCCAGUGUGGGUUUUGUUUACCAGUCCUUCCUACAACCAGGUGAUCUGCAAAAUGAGAGCAAGCGAUGGGGAGAAAGGAGGCCCCUUGAUUCGGGCAGCUGGAGUAGUCCUGCUGCCCAGGAGAUGCUGUCCCUCCCACCAGUCCCCAGUCAUCUAUUGCAUCUUUCCAGCACUGCCUGUCCUCACCUUCCCCCUCUGCCUCUGGUCCCGGCCUGGCCGGGAUUUUCACUUGCUUUUCCCCCAUGACACGGCCGCUUUUCCUUUAACUCUCAGCUUCUAUUUAAAAAGCUAAUUUGGGAGCUUGUCGAUGCUCCCAAUUCAGACAUUUUAAAUAGGAACUGAAAGUCAGUAGCUGCCAGGGCACUAGAUUUCCUCCCGUUGCCACCAGCACAGCUGAGGCAUUUGUUCAGUCACUCCUCUGGCCCUGGCCGUGUGUGUCUGUGUGUGUGAGCACCCGCGAGCUCAGGGUGUAUUUCAGGCUAUCUUUUCUAUUUAAAGACGGUGCUCCUAUGGAUGACUAUUCUUUCUCUGUGUGUGUGUCCUUUCCAAGCUGUGCACACAUGAGGAUUCUUCUUUAGUCUCAUGGCUGUGGCCGGUAUUUGCAAAGCUUGUCACCGUGUGGACUGUGAGGGUAAUUGGGAGCCCAGCUCAAAGUCGGCUGCUUCUUUGCUGACGUGCCAGGCUAGUGUGUCUGCGUGGCUGUUUCCCAGGGCUGCUCUGUUCAGGCUCUCUCUUUGAAGCUAUGCCUCAUAUGCCUGAGAAUGUCCUUAGGGGUCACUCCCACCCUCACUGUUUAUAGCUGUCCCAUUUUAGCAAUCUGCCCCAUGCUGGGGCAAGAAUUUUGGGGGUGGGCUGUACCUCUGAGGGUUACAGCCUUUCUACAUUUAGGGUGCUAUGUACCUUAGAAGUAAAAAGUACAGACUUUGAGGUGAGACUGCCUGGGUUUGAACCUGCGUCUGCUGUUAAUUAGCUGUGUGAUCAUGUGGAAGGUACUUAAUCCCUCUGUGCCAUGAUUUCUUCCUCUCUCAAAUGGCAAUAAAUAAUACUAUCUACUUUAUAAGGUUGUGAAAAUUAAAUGAAGUAACACAGAUAAAGUGCUUAGAAUCGUGCCUGGAACAUGGGAAGUACAAUAUAAUUGUUGGUUGUUGUUGUUCAAGGUAGGAGUGGUGCAGGCAGGAGGUGCAAAGAAAUCUGUCUGAGGAGGAAGAUAGAACUGCCGGAUUGUACACAGAGACACAUAUAGUCACUCACCCACCCAUGCAUGUAACAAUAAAAAUGGCAGGCCACAGCCCACAGGCAGUCAAGUUCACCUUGCUGAGAUAGUUAAUUCUGUAAGUCCCAGAAAAGGGAGAUUUCUGUUGAAGGAAUAGAGGAAGUCUAGGGAUAGAGAUGAGGAAGGGGCUUGACCAUGUCAGAAGCCCAUGGGACAUUUCUUGGGAGCCGAUUUUAUGCUGAAGAGUAAGUCCCGGGACCCUCACUAUCCAUGUGGUCCCAGCCUCCCUUAUUUAACCACUGAAAGCAAGGCCUUUUGAAAGUGAGCUCCAGCGAGAAACUCAGGAGGGUGGCACCUCAUUCUCCCCAAGGCUCCCCUUGAGUUUGGGGUACUCUCACUUUCAUACUGCCAUUGCGUUCCAUCCCUUAUU